AAAAAAGUAGACAAAACUAUUUAUGACAAAUGUCAAAAUUGUCAAAAAAACAAUGAAGAUAGUAUACCAAGAUAUGUUGUUAAAAUCAUUGUGGAAGACGAAACAGACACUGCAAGAGUCACACUUUUUGACGCAGCACAAACAUUGAUAGGAUGCGAUGCUAAAAAAUUCAUGGAUGAUAUAAAAGAGAAAAAAAAUCAGAGUUCAUUGUUUCAAAAGUUUGUUCUCAACAUCGGAAAGACAUACAAGUUCCUUGUAAAGUUGGAUGAGAAGUCAAAGGAUGAACGUGCACAAGGAAAGAUAAUAGCACAAGAAAUCCAAAUCCAAGAAGACAUCACAAUCAACAUUGAUGAUGAUGAUUCAUUUCUCGAUUUACCAAAAAAGAAGAUAAAGGUGGAGGAGGAUUGAUC